rnacentral:rRNA from 1 species
GACAGAGGGUGCAAGCGUUGUUCGGAAUUAUUGGGCGUAAAGGGCGCGUAGGCGGCUUCAUAAGUCACAUGUGAAAUCCCGGGGCCUAACCCCGGAAGUGCAUGUGAUACUGUGAAGCUUGAGUCCUGGAGAGGGUGGUGGAAUUCCCAGUGUAGAGGUGAAAUUCGUAGAUAUUGGGAGGAAUACCGGUGGCGAAGGCGACCACCUGGACAGAGACUGACGCUGAGGCGCGAAAGCGUGGGGAG